AUUAUCUAAGCUGUCCAAAUUUCCUUGAUCAUAUAUGCAUUUAGAUGGGGAAAACUACUUUAUUUGUAAAUACGUACUUACUUGUUAAUUGACUAAUUCGCAUAGUUUGAGUUCAGCUGGGACUCACCAUUGUAGACCGCGAGGGGUGCCUAACACCUUCCCCUCAAGGUUAUUUCGAGCCCUUACCCCGAUCUCUGGUAAUGCAAACUAGUUACAUGAGUUAAUCGCUCUAGGUGCCCUAACGCACCUUAAUCCGUUAGGUAGCGACUCUUCAAAUACCCAAUUCCCAAAAUUUCCCAAUGAAUAUUGAAACCCGGACUCCCCGAGGAAAAAUGGGGCGCGACACACACGAAAAAAGAAAAUGAAUUGAGAUCUUACCAUUUUAAAAAUAUGGUAAUUCAGAAUACCAUCUUAACUCUAGAAUAGAAAUCAGUGCCAUUAGAUCACUACAAAAGAUUUGCUAAAUAAGCAAAAUAAAUGACCUUUAUACACAUUUCAUCUUCUUCAAACUACAUAAUAUUCAGAAAUUGACUAAGUAAAUAUUAAAAAUACCACAUUACCUUUUGAUUCUAUUAAGCACGAUGUAGGAAGUCCAAUAAUUGAUCAAUUUUUUAUGAAAAAAAUGAAGUGUUUGAACAAUUUUUACAUCAAGCCUUAAUUUCAAACCAAUCCAAAAUGUUAUGUCAAAGAAAAAAAAGAUCAACAUCGGUAAUAGUGUUAACUCCAUCAAAUUUUAAAGCAAAAAACAAUUGAAUUUCAGCUGAUUUUUUUAAAAAAACAUAGCGAUUACAAAAUCGAUUAACAAAGAAGGAGACCUCCAAAUAUUUACAUAAUCACACAGUUUCCAAUUUACCCAAAAUCAUAAAAAGGGAAUAGAAGAAAUUAGGGCUUUUAGCAUAAGGAUGAAUUUUGGAGUGUAAGGGUAGAAAUCAAGAGGAACAAAGUCAGAGAGAAAGAAGGGUACCUAGUAGUAGCGAAAGAGAACCAAGUUCGCCGCUUAAGAAGAGUGUUGUUUCAGUUCACUGCAUCCAAACGUUUGUUGCAACUUGUCGUAGUUACCCUACUGAGCGGGAAAAGAGCGGUGGGAUAU
rnacentral:lncRNA from 1 species